GACGUGGGGGGCCAGCGUUGCUCGGAAUUACUGGGUGUAAAGGGUUCGUAGGCGGUGUGGCAAGUCGGAAGUGAAAUCUCCAGGCUUAACUUGGAGGCUGCUUCCGAAACUGCCGUGCUAGAGUGCGGGAGAGGCCAGUGGAAUUGCAGGUGUAGCGGUGAAAUGCGUAGAUAUCUGCAGGAACACCCGUGGCGAAAGCGGCGAGCUGGAUCACAACUGACGCUGAGGCGCGAAAGCUAGGGGAGCAAACAGG
rnacentral:rRNA from 1 species